GUGGAUUAGAUACCCUGGUAGUCCACGCCCUAAACGAUGUCGACUGGAUGUUGGGUGCAACUUGGCACUCAGUAUCGAAGCUAACGCGUUAAGUCGACCGCCUGGGGAGUACGCGCGCAAGCGUGAAACUCAAAGGAAUUGACGGGGGCCCGCACAAGCGGUGGAGUAUGUGGUUUAAUUCGAUGCAACGCGCAGAACCUUACCUGGUCUUGACAUGUCGAGAACCCUUCAGAGAUGAGGGGGUGCCUUCGGGAACUCGAACACAGGUGCUGCACGGCCGUCGCCAACU
rnacentral:rRNA from 1 species